GGAUGUGAGGGCAAUCUGGCUGCAACAUCUUGUCACCCUAUUGAUCGCCAGGGCUGAUUAGGCUGAUCUAGCUGGCUAGGUAGGGUGUCCCCUUCCUCCCUCACUGCUCCAUGUGCGUCCCUUUCAAACAUGACCUUCCCCAAAUAGAGACAGACCUGGUCUUCAGUCGAGGGUAUAAUAGUAUCUGUACUUGCCUCUAACAAGCUCCAAACAAGUUCUCAAGGAAUCAAAGUCAGGAUCAGCAUUUCGUUUUGUUUCAUAAAGUUUGGUACAGAAACCAAUUUAAGCAGCUUAAGAGAUGGCAUAGUGUCU
ensembl:misc_RNA 7SK 7SK RNA